UUUAUGAAUGCUAAAGUUUAGUAUUUAAUUCAUACCUAAAUUCCAUACUUGAUCAUCAAAUAUAUUUCGAAACAUUUAUAUUUCUUAUUUCGUAUUACCAAUAUUACCCGAUGAAACUCAGUAAACAAGCUAAAACACACAUGUACAAUUCAUAUCAGAGGCUUGUUCAAGCGAAACAUAUAAUAGUGUCAGGUUACCCGUCCAGGCUAAACCAUUAUAUCGACACAUCAAAGAGCUUGACUAGAGCUAUAUAUAUACAUGUCAGGAUAACCGUCUGGGCUAAACCUUUAAAACGACAUCAGGUUACUAGUUCAGGCUAAACAUGUGUCACAUGUAUCUUCGAGUCCGCCACAAAUGCUGGAGCUCAAAAUCAUCAGAAAUCAACCUGUAACCAUGUGUAUGACACGUUUACGAAGUUUCAUCAGGGUCAUUUCUAUCAUAUAAGUUCAUACUUAUCCUUUUUCAAUUUAAUCCAAAUCUCACCCAUUAGUAUUAACUUGCAAAUAAUUUAAAGUUUAACAAAUCAUAUAUAAAUUCACAAUAUAACAUACAUACGGAUUUAAACAUAAGUACACCAUAUGAACUUACCUAGAAAAAUCGGCAAACAAGUUAAAUUAUAAGGACAAUUCGAUAAUUUUUCUUUUUCCCCGAUUAUUCUCAACUUGAUUCAAACCUCAAUCAAUUGAAGGACUAAAGUUGAAUUUUUCAAACCCUUAUUUCUUCUUCUUUUGACGGCAAUGGGGGUGGAAGAAAGAUGAUAAUGGUUGUUUUAUUUUAACAUUUAGCUUUUAUAUUAGAAUUAACUUUAAUUAAUUAAUAAUUAUACUAAUUAAGCUUAUUUAGUUAACUUUAAACCAAAUUUACUUAAGCUAAUGUACUGCAUCAUCAUCCACUACCAAAUAACCAUUUACUAAUGGUCCAUUUUCUCCAUUGGGCCUUCCACUACUUAAAAUCUAUAACGAUUAAACUUUUAUCACUUUUACGACUUAGUCCUUAUACUAUAACUAACAAUUCGAUUAACAAAUUUAUUGGACCAAACUUCAAUUAAACUUUAUACUAACCUCGUUAAUAUUUAAUAUUUACGGACUCAUUCGUAAAAAAUGAGGUUCCGAAAUUACUAUUUUCGACACCACAAAAAAACUGAUUAUUACACAUUCAGUCUACUAUGACGUCAAAUUUCAAACUACUUUAUGCAAUGUUCUAUGCUCCUGGCUAGUACCCUUAAACGACUAGCUCGUAUUAACAAAAGCUUUCUAUGGGGAGGGAAUGAAUAGGGAAAUAAACUCCAUCUGGUCAAUUACGAGAAGGUCACCCGUCCCGAAGAUAAAAGGAGGUUUGGGAAUUGCUUUCCAUAAGAGCCAAGCUCACUUGAUCAAGCUAGUGUGACGCCUCAUCCAAUAGCAUGAUAAGUUAUGGGCUAAAACUCUCAUGGCAAAAUACCUCCUUGAUCCACGCAACCCCCAACUUUUAAAGAACACAUCGAUAACUUUGAGGUCCUUGAGAAGGAUUCUAUACUUAUUCAGGAUUGAGAUUGGUGGCGCAUAAUGGGAGAUCUGUAAUUUUUUAGCAUGACAACUGGACGGAAAGAGGACAUCUGAAGAGAGCAAUACAAGGACCUAUGUCGUAUAAGGAAGAUUCUUGGAAUCUAGAGCAAGUAAAAUCUAAAUGGGAUACCCAAGGACUGAGUUGAUUACCUCUGGAACUCCCAAGAGAUUUAAUUGACUCCUUUCUGAGUACGCCAUUCUUUUGCAACACCAACAGUAGGGAUUCUCUCUACUGGAACCUUACGAAUUUGGGUUUCUUCUCAUUAGCGAGUGCCUAUUUGCUUGCGCUAGGAACAGUAUCCGACGCUCCUUAAAAUGACGAGACUCUGGAAGUCUAUUUGGAGAGCAAAGACCCCUCCAAAGCUUAAAGUGUUCCUAUGUGAGUGUGGGCUUCAAGCUCUCCCUACCAAUCAUCUACUACAUGGCAGAGGGAUAAAUGUCCUUUUCUGCUCCAACGCCCAAG
rnacentral:lncRNA from 1 species